rnacentral:tRNA from 1 species
GGAGAGGUGUCCGAGUGGUUGAAGGAGCCGGUCUCGAAAACCGGUGGGCUCUUACGGGUCUCGAGGGUUCGAAUCCCUCCCUCUCCG